rnacentral:rRNA from 1 species
GUCUCAAAGAUUAAGCCAUGCAUGUCUAAGUAUAAGCAAUCUAUACGGUGAAACUGCGAAUGGCUCAUUAAAUCAGUUAUCGUUUAUUUGAUAGUACCUUACUACAUGGAUAACCGUGGUAAUUCUAGAGCUAAUACAUGCUAAAAACCCCGACUUCGGAAGGGGUGUAUUUAUUAGAUAAAAAACCAGCGCCCUUCGGGGCUCCUUGGUGAUUCAUGAUAACUCAACGAAUCGCAUGGCCUUGCGCCGGCGAUGGUUCAUUCAAAUUUCUGCCCUAUCAACUUUCGAUGGUAGGAUAGUGGCCUACCAUGGUAUCAACGGGUAACGGGGAAUUAGGGUUCUAUUCCGGAGAGGGAGCCUGAGAAACGGCUACCACAUCCAAGGAAGGCAGCAGGCGCGCAAAUUACCCAAUCCCGACACGGGGAGGUAGUGACAAUAAAUACUGAUACAGGGCUCUUUCGGGUCUUGUAAUUGGAAUGAGUACAAUUUAAAUCCCUUAACGAGGAACAAUUGGAGGGCAAGUCUGGUGCCAGCAGCCGCGGUAAUUCCAGCUCCAAUAGCGUAUAUUAAAGUUGUUGCAGUUAAAAAGCUCGUAGUUGAACCUUGGGCCUGGCUGGCCGGUCCGCCUCACCGCGUGUACUGGUCCGGCCGGGCCUUUCCUUCUGGGGAGCCGCAUGCCCUUCACUGGGCGUGCCGGGGAACCAGGACUUUUACUUUGAAAAAAUUAGAGUGUUCAAAGCAGGCCUUUGCUCGAAUACAUUAGCAUGGAAUAAUAGAAUAGG